rnacentral:misc_RNA from 1 species
GAUGAAGAACGCAGCGAAAUGCGAUACGUAAUGUGAAUUGCAGAAUUCAGUGAAUCCUCGAGUCUUUGAACGCACAUUGCGCCCCCUGGUAUUCCGGGGGGCAUGCCUGUCCGAGCGUCAUUGCUGCCCUCAAGCACGGCUUGUGUGUUGGGCCUCCGUCCUCCUCCCGGGGGACGGGCCCGAAAGGCAGCGGCGGCACCGCGUCCGGUCCUCGAGCGUAUGGGGCUUCGUCACCCGCUCUUGUAGGCCCGGCCGGCGCUUGCCGACACAUCAAUCUUUUUUCCAGGUUGACCUCGGAUCAGGUAGGGAUACCCGCUGAACUUAAGCAUAUCAAUAAGCGGAGGA